rnacentral:lncRNA from 1 species
AUGAAAACUGGAAGACAAUACCAGGAACAGUCAAGACUCCGAGCCUCUGUGUGUCCAUGUUGAGGAUAGUAGGCAGAGAAAACAUCACAUGUGUUCGAAGACGCUGGAAUAAAAGAAGAAAAUACAACAUUGAUACAAAUACCAGAUAACUGAUGCCUACCUCAUUCACGAAAAUUGUCAACUCUUUCCCAGCUAGCUUACCAGCCGUGCACUUGAUACUCAAAGCAGUUUCCUCCUUCAAUUCAGUGUGUACUGUGGUCCGAACAGCUUCGAUCGAUACACCAAACACAGUCACACCGUCUUCCAUCUCCUUGCAUUGUACGCUUCCCUUUC